UACGUAGGUGGCAAGCGUUGUCCGGAAUUAUUGGGCGUAAAGCGCGCGCAGGUGGUUUCUUAAGUCUGAUGUGAAAGCCCACGGCUCAACCGUGGAGGGUCAUUGGAAACUGGGGAACUUGAGUGCAGGAGAGAAGAGUGGAAUUCCACGUGUAGCGGUGAAAUGCGUAGAGAUGUGGAGGAACACCAGUGGCGAAGGCGGAUCUCUGGGCCUUACCUGACGCUCAGGCGCGAAAGCUAGGGGAGCGAACUGG
rnacentral:rRNA from 1 species